AACGAACGCUGGCGGCAGGCCUCAAACAUGCAAGUCUAGGGGGUGCAGCAAUGCAUCACCGGCGGGACGGGUGCGUAACGCGUGGGAAUAUACCUUUUGGUUCGGAACAACUGCGGGAAACUGCAGCUAAUACCGAAUGUGCCCUAACGGGGAAAGAUUUAUCGCCAAAGGAUUAGCCCGCGUAGGAUUAGCUAGUUGGUGAGGUAAUGGCUCACCAAGGCUCCGAUCCUUAGCGUUCUGAGAGGAAGAUCAGCCACACUGGGACUGAGACACGGCCCAGACUCCUACGGGAGGCAGCAGUUGGGAAUCUUGGACAAUGGGGGAACCCGUGAUCCAGCCAUGCCGCGUGAGUGAUGAAGG
rnacentral:rRNA from 1 species